rnacentral:lncRNA from 1 species
GGCCAGCCGGGUACAGGACAACAGAGCUCCACUGCUAAGCACCGAUGCCAGGAGACAAAACCUGCAGCCGGGGCCCAGGUCAAGUAAAAGAAUUUAUUCUCAGGCAACGGCAAUGGAGUGGAAACAGCAAGGAAGUCACUAUUAUUGUGUUAAGUGGCAGCAGUCAGUUCGGCAACGUGCAUACACCUAUGAUCCUAACACUUGGUAAAAGGAGGCAAGAGGAUCGGGAAUCAGCUUGGAGUGACUCUGAGGCCAGACCGGAGUGUAUACUGAGAUACUGUCUUUAAAAUGAAUUAAAAAGAAAUGUUGUGCAGUGUGGAUUUUAUUUUAUUUUUUUUAAGAUUCAGAAGUGAGAAAAGGGAUGCGUCUAAAAAGAAUAAUACAAAUUUUCUUAAUCAG